rnacentral:rRNA from 1 species
AUUGAACGCUGGCGGCAGGCCUAACACAUGCAAGUCGAGCGGUAGAGAGGUGCUUGCAUCUCUUGAGAGCGGCGGACGGGUGAGUAAUGCCUAGGAAUCUGCCUAGUGGUGGGGGAUAACGUUCGGAAACGGACGCUAAUACCGCAUACGUCCUACGGGAGAAAGCGGGGGAUCUUCGGACCUCGCGCCAUUAGAUGAGCCUAGGUCGGAUUAGCUAGUUGGUGAGGUAAUGGCUCACCAAGGCGACGAUCCGUAACUGGUCUGAGAGGAUGAUCAGUCACACUGGAACUGAGACACGGUCCAGACUCCUACGGGAGGCAGCAGUGGGGAAUAUUGGACAAUGGGCGAAAGACCUGAUCCAGCCAUGCCGCGUGUGUGAAGAAGGU